rnacentral:lncRNA from 1 species
GUGGGGCUUGGCAGGCUAUCCGACAGUCAAUAAUCAAGAUUUCUUUAUCAAAGUCUAUCAAAGCUAUUAGAAGAUCUUUUUAAGAUCCAAAAAAUUCUAAAAGACAAAUACAAUCUAAAGAGAGAUACUUUUAGAGAGAGAAAUUUAUAGAUAGAGCGAGAAUUUUCUAAAAAAAAUGGAGAGAGAAAGUGGAAAGAGAAAAGA